rnacentral:rRNA from 1 species
UACGUAGGGUGCAAGCGUUGUCCGGAAUUAUUGGGCGUAAAGAGCUCGUAGGCGGUUCGUCGCGUCGGCUGUGAAAUCCCGAGGCUCAACCUCGGGUCUGCAGUCGAUACGGGCGGACUGGAGUUCGGCAGGGGAGACUGGAAUUCCUGGUGUAGCGGUGAAAUGCGCAGAUAUCAGGAAGAACACCGGUGGCGAAGGCGGCUCUCUGGGCCUUACCUGACGCUGAGGAGCGAAAGCGUGGGUAGCGAACAGG